UACGGGGGGGGGCAAGCGUUGUUCGGAAUUACUGGGCGUAAAGGGCUCGUAGGUGCCAACUAAGUCAUACGUGAAAUCCCUCAGCUUAACUGGGGAACUGCGUCUGAUACUGGAUGGCUUGAGUUUGGGAGAGGGAUGCGGAAUUCCAGGUGUAGCGGUGAAAUGCGCAGAUAAUCAGGAGGAACACCGGUGGCGAAAGGCGGGGUCUCUGGGCCGAUACUGACGUGAGGAGCGAAAGCGUGGGGAGCGAACAGGG
rnacentral:rRNA from 1 species